rnacentral:rRNA from 1 species
GACGAACGCUGGCGGCGUGCUUAACACAUGCAAGUCGAGCGGGGAACUUCGGUUCCCAGCGGCGGACGGGUGAGUAACACGUGGGUAACCUGCCUUACAGUGGGGAAUAGCCUUCCGAAAGGAAGAUUAAUACCGCAUAAUACUCAGAGAUCACAUGAUCUUUGAGCCAAAGGAUUUAUUCGCUGUAAGAUGGACCCGCGGCGCAUUAGCUUGUUGGUGAGGUAACGGCUCACCAAGGCUUCGAUGCGUAGCCGACCUGAGAGGGUGAUCGGCCACAGUGGAACUGAGACACGGUCCAGACUCCUACGGGAGGCAGCAGUGGGGAAUAUUGCACAAUGGAGGAAACUCUGAUGCAGCAACGCCGCGUGAGUGAUGAAGGUCUUCGGAUCGUAAAACUCUGUCUUAUGGGACGAUAAUGACGGUACCAUAGGAGGAAGCCACGGCUAACUACGUGCCAGCAGCCGCGGUAA